UCCAUCGUGAGGUGGAAUCUGAAGGAAGCCGGAGGCAAACUUCUGGGCUGAUGAACAAGAACUGCAUACUAAGGCUGAAUAGAGACGGAUAAGCCUGCGUAACAAGGUGAAGUCCAAUACUGCCCGAAUCUCAAACAGUAUAUGCAGCAGCCACAUGGAAGGAAAGCGGUCGUU
rnacentral:ncRNA from 2 species